CUGGCCCUAAACGAUGUCCACUAGGUCGAUGACUCUCUGACGGGUUGUUGGCCGCAAUAAAAACGUUAAGUGGACCGCCUGGGGAGUACGGUCGCAAGGCUAAAACUCAAAGGAAUUGACGGGGGCUCACACAAGCGGUGGAGCAUGUUGCUUAAUUCGAUGCAACGCGAAGAACCUUAUCCUGGGCUUGACAUGCUUGGAUACCUACCUGGAAACAGAAUAGGUUGCCCUUCGGGGUGAAACUUGCACAGGUGC
rnacentral:rRNA from 1 species